AACAAACGCUGGCGGCGUGCCUAAUACAUGCAAGUCGAACGGGGAAAGCUUUCGGGUGAGUACUAGUGGCGCACGGGUGAGGAACGCGUGGAUAAUCUGCCUUAGAGUGGGGGAUAACUAGUCGAAAGAUUAGCUAAUACCGCAUAAGACCACAGGAGCUGCGGCUCAAGGGGUCAAAGGUUUUUCGCUCUAAGAUGAGUCCGCGUAAGAUUAGCUAGUUGGUGAGGUAACGGCUCACCAAGGCUAUGACGGGUAGCUGGUCUGAGAGGACGACCAGCCACACGGGAACUGAGACACGGUCCCGACUCCUACGGGAGGCAGCAGUGGGGAAUUUUCCGCAAUGGGCGAAAGCCUGACGGAGUGACGCCGCGUGGGGAACGAAGGCCUUCGGGUCGUAAACCCCUGUCAGAGGGAAAGAAGGGUGCUGGCGUGAACAGCGCCGGCAUCUGACGGUACCUUCAGAGGAAGCCCCGGCCAACUC
rnacentral:rRNA from 1 species